ensembl:snRNA U6 U6 spliceosomal RNA
GUGCUCGCUUCAGCAGCACAUAUACUAAAACUAAAAUGAUACAGAAAAGAUUAGCAUGGGCCCUGCCCAAGGAUGACACACAGAGUCUUAACACAAAAGGCAUAGGA